GACGAACGCUGGCGGCGUGCUUAACACAUGCAAGUCGAACGGAAAGGCCCUGCUUUUGUGGGGUGCUCGAGUGGCGAACGGGUGAGUAACACGUGAGUAACCUGCCCUUGACUUUGGGAUAACUUCAGGAAACUGGGGCUAAUACCGGAUAGGAGCUCCUGCUGCAUGGUGGGGGUUGGAAAGUUUCGGCGGUUGGGGAUGGACUCGCGGCUUAUCAGCUUGUUGGUGGGGUAGUGGCUUACCAAGGCUUUGACGGGUAGCCGGCCUGAGAGGGUGACCGGCCACAUUGGGACUGAGGUACGGCCCAGACUCCUACGGGAGGCAGCAGUGGGGAAUAUUGCACAAUGGGCGGAAGCCUGAUGCAGCAACGCCGCGUGCGGGAUGACGGCCUUCGGGUUGGAAACCGCUUUCGCCUGUGACGAAGCGUGAGUGACGGUAAUGGGUAAAGAAGCACCGGCUAACUACGUG
rnacentral:rRNA from 1 species